GACGAACGCUGGCGGCGUGCUUAACACAUGCAAGUCGAACGGAAAGGCCCUGCUUUUGUGGGGUGCUCGAGUGGCGAACGGGUGAGUAACACGUGAGUAACCUGCCCUUGACUUUGGGAUAACUUCAGGAAACUGGGGCUAAUACCGGAUAGGAGCUCCUGCUGCAUGGUGGGGGUUGGAAAGUUUCGGCGGUUGGGGAUGGACUCGCGGCUUAUCAGCUUGUUGGUGGGGUAGUGGCUUACCAAGGCUUUGACGGGUAGCCGGCCUGGGAGGGUGACCGGCCACAUUGGGACUGAGAUACGGCCCAGACUACAACGGGAGGCAGCAGUGGGGAAUAUUGCACAAUGGGCGGAAGCCUGAUGCAGCAACGCCGCGUGCGGGAAGACGGCCUUCGGGUUGUAAACCGCUUUCGCCUGUGACGAAGCGUGAGUGACGGUAAUGGGUAAAGAAGCACCGGCUAACUACGUG
rnacentral:rRNA from 1 species